rnacentral:rRNA from 1 species
UACAGAGGUCCCAAGCGUUGUUCGGAUUCAUUGGGCGUAAAGGGUGCGUAGGCGGCGCGGUAAGUCGGGUGUGAAAUCUCGGGGCUUAACUCCGAAACUGCAUUCGAUACUGCCGUGCUUGAGGACUGGAGAGGAGACUGGAAUUUACGGUGUAGCGGUGAAAUGCGUAGAUAUCGUAAGGAAGACCAGUGGCGAAGGCGGGUCUCUGGACAGUUCCUGACGCUGAAGCACGAAGGCCAGGGGAGCAAACGGG